UACGGGGGGAGCAAGCGUUGUUCGGAUUUACUGGGCGUAAAGGGCGCGUAGGCGGUCAGCACAAGUCAGUUGUGAAAUCUCCGGGCUUAACUCGGAAAGGUCAACUGAUACUGUGCGACUAGAGUGCAGAAGGGGCAACUGGAAUUCUCGGGUGUAGCGGUGAAAUGCGUAGAUAUCGUGAGGAAGACCAGUGGCGAAAGCGAAUCUCUGGACAGUUCCUGACGCUGAUGCACGAAGGCUAGGGGAGCAAACGGG
rnacentral:rRNA from 1 species